AACUUCAAACCCCUUUAGAUUUUAUUCCACGAUUUUAAUUUUUAUCAAUAUUUGCUUUUAUUUACAUCUAGAAUUAUUGGUUAAAAAGGCUUUAAUGAGAUGUUUUGUUGGUAUUAAGACCCCAAAUUUUCAGGGUGUGCAUAUAAUACUAAAAUAUUCAAUAUAUAAUAAAAAAAGAAAUUAAAAAGAUAGAUAAGUAUACCAUAUUCUGUUAAUAGAAUUAAAAAAAAAAAAGACAACUAGCUGACAGACGUGAAAAUGAAAACAAAAUUGCUGUCAAGAAAAACAAAAAGAUUAAUUAAAGACAUAGCAAAAUUUGACAAUAUAAUAGACAGCACCAAGACCUUGCUGAUGAUCCUACUUGAUAUAAGUUUCAUCAUCUUCAAUAAUGCAUAAACUUUUAGAAAUAUAAAAAUUGUCAGAAAUAAAUUUAAGAAAUAAAUUUCUGCAGCGAGUUAUUA